GUCGGCUCUUAGGUGGAACCAUCGGAGCAGAAGCUCGGGGUUGCUGGGCGGUUCCGAGGUGACGGAAGCGGGAGGGUGCGGGAGAAGUCGCUGUUCGCUCUGCGGAGUGGCUCGCCAGCGAAGACCCCGCCUGCGCCCCCGGGGACGGACGACCGCGGUGCCAGGGUCCCGCGACCUGGGACCCCCUCGCGGCUCCGGGUGGUCUACGAACUGUGAUGGCGGCGGCCGCGGUGAUGGGCCCGGCGCAGGAGGAAUGGGAGCUGCUGGAUGAGGCUCAGAGACUCUUCUAUUAUGAAAUAAUGGCUUCUGUGCUUCGCAUUUAUAGUCUCCCUGGAUCCUCUGUGGUUGUUGAAUUGUAACAAGAGAGAGAACUCUGGCUGCCUGAGAGGGCAUGACUCUAGUCACAGCAGGAGGGGCUUGGACAGGCCCUGGUUGUUGGCAUGAAGUGAAGGAUGAAGAGUCAUCUUCUGAACAGAGCAUUUCUAUAGCAGUGUCACAUGUUAAUACUUCCAAGGCAGGUUUGCCCGCACAGACGGCUCUCCCUUGUGACAUAUGUGGCCCCAUCUUGAAAGAUAUUUUGCACCUGGAUG
rnacentral:lncRNA from 1 species